rnacentral:rRNA from 1 species
UACGAAGGGUGCAAGCGUUACUCGGAAUUACUGGGCGUAAAGCGUGCGUAGGUGGUUUGUUAAGUCUGUUGUGAAAGCCCCGGGCUCAACCUGGGAAUGGCAAUGGAUACUGGCAAGCUAGAGUGCGGUAGAGGGUAGUGGAAUUCCCGGUGUAGCGGUGAAAUCCGUAGAUAUCAUGAGGAACAUCAGUGGCGAAGGCGGCUCUCUGGUACACUUCUGACGCUCAGACGCGAAAGCAUGGGGAGCAAACAGG